rnacentral:rRNA from 1 species
CCGAAAGGCGUAGGUGAUGGACAACAGGUUGAUAUUCCUGUACUACCGAUAACCAUUUGAGAGAAGGGAUGACACAGUAGGAUAAGCUAAGCACACUGUUGGUUAUGUGUGCCCAAGCAUUGAGGCAGUCAAAGUAGGCAAAUCCGCUUUGAUAAUGCUGGGAUGUGAUGGGGAGCGAAAUUUAGUAGCGAAGUAGCUGAUUUCACACUGUCAAGAAAAGUCUCUAUCGAGGUUAAAGGUACCCGUACCGCAAACCGACACAGGUGGGUGAGGAGAGUAUCCUAAGGCCAGCGAGAGAACUGUUGUUAAGGAACUCGGCAAAAUGACCCCGUAACUUAGGGAUAAGGGGUGCCACCAUCAGGUGGCCGCAGAGAAUAGGCCCAAGCGACUGUUUACCAAAAACAUAGGUUUCUGCUAAGUCGCAAGACGAUGUAUAGGAGCUGACGCCUGCCCGGUGCUGGAAGGUUAAGGGGAUCUGUUAGAGCAAUCGAAGCAGUGAACUUAAGCCCCAGUAAACGGCGGCCGUAACUAUAACGGUCCUAAGGUAGCGAAAUUCCUUGUCGGGUAAGUUCCGACCCGCACGAAAGGCGUAACGAUUUGGGCACUGUCUCAACAACAGACUCGGUGAAAUUGUAAUUCCGGUGAAGAUGCCGGAUACCUGCGACAGGACGGAAAGACCCCAUGGAGCUUUACUGUAGCUUGACAUUGGGUCUUGGUACUACAUGUACAGGAUAGGUGGGAGGCUUUGAAACCAGGACGCCAGUUUUGGCGGAGCCAUCCUUGGGAUACCACCCUUGUAGUACUGGGACUCUAACCAUAGGCCAUGAAUCUGGUCUUGGGACACUGUCAGGUGGGCAGUUUGACUGGGGCGGUCGCCUCCCAAAAGGUAACGGAGGCGCUCAAAGGUUCUCUCAGUACGGUCGGAAAUCGUACGUAGAGUGUAAAGGCAAAAGAGAGCUUGAUUGCAAGACAUACAGGUCGAGCAAGGAUGAAAAUCGGACUUAGUGAUCCGGUGGUUCUGCGUGGAAGGGCCAUCGCUCAACGGAUAAAAGCUACCCUGGGGAUAACAGGCUUAUCUCCCCCAAGAGUCCACAUCGACGGGGAGGUUUGGCACCUCGAUGUCGGCUCAUCACAUCCUGGGGCUGUAGUAGGUCCCAAGGGUUGGGCUGUUCGCCCAUUAAAGUGGUACGCGAGCUGGGUUCAGAACGUCGUGAGACAGUUCGGUCCCUAUCCGUCGCAGGCGUAGGAAAUUUGAGAAGACCUGUCCUUAGUACGAGAGGACCGGGAUGGACGUACCUCUGGUGUACCAGUUGUCCUGCCAAGGGCAUGGCUGGGUAGCUAUGUACGGAAUGGAUAAGCGCUGAAAGCAUCUAAGCGCGAAGCCAACUUCAAGAUAAGAUUUCCCACCGCAAGGGUAAGACCCCAGAAAGACUAUCUGGUUGAUAGGUCGAAGGUGUAAGUG